AUUGAACGCUGGCGGCAGGCCUAACACAUGCAAGUCGAGCGGAGCGGCGGACGGGUGAGUAAUGCCUAGGACUGGGACUGGGAGUGGGGGAUGACGUCAGGAAACGGGAGCGAAUGCCGCUUCCUAUUAGAUGAGCAUAGGUCGGAUUAGCUAGUUGGUGGGGUAAAGGCCUACCAAGGCGACGAUCCGUACCUGGUCUGAGAGGAUGAUCAGUCACACUGGAACUGAGACACGGUCCAGACUCCUACGGGAGGCAGCAGUGGGGAAUAUUGGACAAUGGGCGAAAGCCUGAUCCAGCCAUGCCGCGUGUGUGAAGAAGGUCUUCGGAUUGUAAAGCACUUUAAGUUGGGAGGCGUUACCAACAGAAUAAGCACCGGCUAACUUCGUGCCAGCAGCCGCGGUAAUAC
rnacentral:rRNA from 1 species